GGCAGACGAGGUAGUAAUAAAUAGGUACUUACCCUUUAGUCAGGAAUACCUCAUCGAAAGAUGAGUUAAUACUUGAUAGUCUCGCAAGAGUAAAGAUUUAUCGCUAAAGGAAAGGCCUGUUCAGUAUCAGCUAGUUGGUAGGGUAAUGGCCUACCAAGGCUUAGACGCUUAGGGGACCUGAGAGGGUGACCCCCACCGAUGGAACUGAGAAACGGUCCAUACACCUACGGGUGGCCGCAGUCGAGAAUCUUCCGCAAUGGGCGAAAGCCUGACGGAGCGACGCCGCGUGAUUGAUGAAGUCCUUCGGGACGUAAAGAUCUUUUGCCAGGGAGAAAGUUUAUUGAUAGUACUUGGCGAAUAAGAGGUUGCUAAACUCGUGCCAGCAGCAGCGGUAAUACGAGUGCCUCAAGCGUUAUCCGGAAUCAUUGGGCGUAAAGGUUGUGUAGGUGGUUGUAUUAGUCUUCUGUUAAAUUCUUCGGCUUUACCGGGGGCAUGCAGGGGAAACGGUACAACUAGAGGAUGCGAGGGGUCUGCGGAACUCAUAGUGUAGCGGUGAAAUGCGUUGAUAUUAUGGGGAACACCAAAAGCGAAGGCAGCAGACUGGAGCACUCCUGACACUGAAACAAGAAAGCGUGGGUCGCGAAUGGGAUUAGAUACCCCAGUAGUCCACGCCCUAAACGAUCUUCUCUAGCUAUUCGGAGUAUCGACCCUCUGAGUGGCGUAGCUAACGCGUUAAGAGAAGCGCCUGGGUAGUACGACCGCAAGGUUAAAACUCAAAGGAAUAGACGGGGACUUGCACAAGCGGUGGAUCAUGUGGUUUAAUUCGAUGACAAACGAAGAACCUUACCAGGGUUUGAAACCUAGCUGAAUACUUUAGGAAACUAGAGUAGUCGCAAGACAGUUAGGCAGGUGAUGCAUGGCCGUCGUCAGUUCGUGGCUUGAGUUGUUCCCUUCAGUGGGGUAACGAACGCAACCCUCGUUGCCUGUUAUAUUUGUCAGGCGAGACUGCUCACGACAAAGCGCAGAUAUCGGUAA
rnacentral:rRNA from 1 species